rnacentral:rRNA from 1 species
AGAGUUUGAUCCUGGCUCAGGAUGAACGCUAGCUACAGGCUUAACACAUGCAAGUCGAGGGGCAGCAUGGUCUUAGCUUGCUAAGGCCGAUGGCGACCGGCGCACGGGUGAGUAACACGUAUCCAACCUGCCGUCUACUCUUGGACAGCCUUCUGAAAGGAAGAUUAAUACAAGAUGGCAUCAUGAGUCCGCAUGUUCACAUGAUUAAAGGUAUUCCGGUAGACGAUGGGGAUGCGUUCCAUUAGAUAGUAGGCGGGGUAACGGCCCACCUAGUCUUCGAUGGAUAGGGGUUCUGAGAGGAAGGUCCCCCACAUUGGAACUGAGACACGGUCCAAACUCCUACGGGAGGCAGCAGUGAGGAAUAUUGGUCAAUGGGCGAGAGCCUGAACCAGCCAAGUAGCGUGAAGGAUGACUGCCCUAUGGGUUGUAAACUUCUUUUAUAAAGGAAUAAAGUCGGGUAUGCAUACCCGUUUGCAUGUACUUUAUGAAUAAGGAUCGGCUAACUCCGUGCCAGCAGCCGCGGUAAUACGGAGGAUCCGAGCGUUAUCCGGAUUUAUUGGGUUUAAAGGGAGCGUAGAUGGAUGUUUAAGUCAGUUGUGAAAGUUUGCGGCUCAACCGUAAAAUUGCAGUUGAUACUGGAUAUCUUGAGUGCAGUUGAGGCAGGCGGAAUUCGUGGUGUAGCGGUGAAAUGCUUAGAUAUCACGAAGAACUCCGAUUGCGAAGGCAGCCUGCUAAGCUGCAACUGACAUUGAGGCUCGAAAGUGUGGGUAUCAAACAGGAUUAGAUACCCUGGUAGUCCACACGGUAAACGAUGAAUACUCGCUGUUUGCGAUAUACGGCAAGCGGCCAAGCGAAAGCGUUAAGUAUUCCACCUGGGGAGUACGCCGGCAACGGUGAAACUCAAAGGAAUUGACGGGGGCCCGCACAAGCGGAGGAACAUGUGGUUUAAUUCGAUGAUACGCGAGGAACCUUACCCGGGCUUAAAUUGCAGAUGAAUUACGGUGAAAGCCGUAAGCCGCAAGGCAUCUGUGAAGGUGCUGCAUGGUUGUCGUCAGCUCGUGCCGUGAGGUGUCGGCUUAAGUGCCAUAACGAGCGCAACCCUUGUUGUCAGUUACUAACAGGUUCCGCUGAGGACUCUGACAAGACUGCCAUCGUAAGAUGUGAGGAAGGUGGGGAUGACGUCAAAUCAGCACGGCCCUUACGUCCGGGGCUACACACGUGUUACAAUGGGGGGUACAGAGGGCCGCUACCACGCGAGUGGAUGCCAAUCCCAAAAACCUCUCUCAGUUCGGACUGGAGUCUGCAACCCGACUCCACGAAGCUGGAUUCGCUAGUAAUCGCGCAUCAGCCACGGCGCGGUGAAUACGUUCCCGGGCCUUGUACACACCGCCCGUCAAGCCAUGGGAGCCGGGGGUACCUGAAGUGCGUAACCGCGAGGAGCGCCCUAGGGUAAAACUGGUGACUGGGGCUAAGUCGUAACAAGGUAGCCGUACCGGAAGGUGCGGCUG